AAAAUGUGAAGGAUGCUAGUGAAUAAAUCCCCUGAAUGAAUCCAGAAACAACAUACAGAGAAACCAAAUCAUUUAGCCAAGGAAGAAGACGUGGCCUUCACAAGCACGGGUAGAUCUUGACUGGACCUGGAGAGCAAAGUUGGUGGCUGAUGCGCAGAUCUGUGUUCUAAUUUGCACCUGAGCAUUAGAGAUUGACAGCUAAUUAUAGUAGACCUCCAGCUCUUCUAGAUGAAGGCCCCCCUCUUCUCCAAGGUAUCAAAGAUGCAGUCCGGUGCCCUAUCUACAACAUCAUCCUUCCUCUUUAAAGGUUCUAAGGGGAAGACACCCAUUUGCCCGAGGUCCUCGAAAGCUGGAAUGAAUGGAUUGGUGUCUACAGAACUGGGAUGGACCGCCAAUUUUUCUAACUCUUGCUAUUUUAACAUGUGGUCUCAUGAUAGUUCAUGUUUUCU